UGAAAACAAGUAGCCUGUGGAAAACCAAAUAACAUCUGUCAAUUCGAGCUAGCCUUUUGGGGCUUCUACUGAUUUCAUUCGUUUCCCACAUUUCGACCUUAAAACAUCUAAAUUUGUUGUCCAGUUUCAAAUUAUUUCUUUGUUCGGUUGUCUAACGAAUUAAUCAUGUGUUGCGGACCUUGUGGAUCUUGCUGCGGACCCUGCGGACCUUGCUGCGGACCCUGCGGACCUUGCUGUGGUCCUUGCUGCGGACCCUGUGGUCCUUGCUGCGGACCCUGUGGUCCUUGCUGUGGACCUUGUGGGCCUUGCUGCGGACCCUGUGGACCUUGCUGCGGACCCUGUGGUGGCUGCUUCUUUUGUUAGAAGCAUUUCAAAUUUUCACUUCAGAGAAGUCGUAAAAUUAUGUAAAAUUGAAAAGGGCCUUUAAGCUGUUAAAAGCGAUAAAGGCAUCCUUCAAAGUCAUCUAAAUCCAUCAUACAUAUAUACGUAAACCGUACAAAUGAAAUUGAAGCAAGUCAACAAUAAAAAAAAUUAGAUUGGGAUUUUAAUUUGUUUUAUUUAAGGGACUAGCUCAUAGCGUUUGCACAUUGUCAGUAACUUUUAGUAUUCAUAUAGAAGUAAUAUGAAUAUUAUACUCGAAACUGUAGUCUUCUGUUUAAGAGUAAUAUGAAUAUUUUAAUCGGUUACCAAAGCUAUCUGACCCGUGCUAUUACACAUUGGCUAUAACCAUUGGCUAUUUUUUCAGUCUACCAUUUUAUGCAAAUAAUUUUCAAUACAUUUUGUCAACGUUUUGAUCGAUAUAUCUUGAUUAACCGAUUUAUGAUUAGCUUAUGCGGAGGUUAAAAAAUGAAUUUAUGAAAACAAGUAGUCUGUGGAACCCAAAUACCAUCUGUCAAAUCGAGCUAGUCCUUUGGGGCUUCUACUGACUUUAUUCGUUUCCCACAUUUCGACCUUAAAACAUCUAAAUUUGUUGUCCAGUUUCAAAUUAUUUCUUUGUUCGGUUUUCUAACGAAUCAAUCAUGUGUUGCGGACCUUGUGGACCUUGCUGCGGACCCUGCGGACCUUGCUGUGGACCCUGUGGUCCUUGCUGCGGACCUUGUGGGCCUUGCUGCGGACCGUGUGGUCCUUGCUGCGGACCCUGCCUAGGACCAAACACCUGCGGUCCUUGCUUUGCGUGCGGACCCUGUGGUGGCUGCUUCCCUUGUUAGAAGCAUUUAAAAUUCUUCCACUUGGAAGAAAUCGUAAAAUCAUGUAAAAUUAAGAAGGACCUAUAGGCUGUAAAAAGCGGCACAAUGGCAUCCUUCAAAGUCAUCUAAAUCCAUCAUGCAUAUAUACGUAAACCGUACAAAUGAAAUUGAAGCAAGUCAGCAAUAAAAAAAAUUAGAUUGGGA